rnacentral:rRNA from 1 species
UACGUAGGGUGCGAGCGUUAAUCGGAAUUACUGGGCGUAAAGAGUGCGUAGGCGGAUAUAUAAGUUAGAUGUGAAAGUCCCGAGCUUAACUUGGGGAAGUCAUUUAAGACUGUAUAUCUAGAGUUUAUAAGAGGGGGGUAGAAUUCCGAGUGUAGCAGUGAAAUGCGUAGAGAUUUGGAGGAAUACCGAUGGCGAAGGCAGCUCCCUGGGAUAAAACUGACGCUGAGGUACGAAAGCGUGGGAAGCAAACAGG